rnacentral:rRNA from 1 species
GAGUUUGAUCGUGGCUCAGAUUGAACGCUGGCGGCAUGCCUAACACAUGCAAGUCGAACGGCAGCACUGGGAGGCUUGCUCCCUGGUGGCGAGUCGGCGGACGGGUGAGUAACGCGUAGGAAUCUGCCUCAUAGCGGGGGACAACUCGGGGAAACUCGAGCUAAUACCGCAUACUACUCGAGAGAGGAAAGCAGGGGACCUUCGGGCCUUGCACUAUGAGAUGAGCCUGCGUUGGAUUAGCUAGUUGGUAGGGUAAAGGCCUACCAAGGCGACGAUCCAUAACUGGUUUGAGAGGAUGACCAGUCACACUGGGACUGAGACACGGCCCAGACUCCUACGGGAGGCAGCAGUGGGGAUAUUGGAC